GGUUACUGCUAUCGGUGUUCGCCUAAGCCAUGCGAGUCAUAUGUUCUUCGGAACAUGGCGUACUGCUCAGUAACACGUGGAUAACCUGCCCUUGGGUCCGGCAUAACCCCGGGAAACUGGGGAUAAUUCCGGAUAACGCACAUAUGCUGGAAUGCUUUAUGCGUCAAAUGGAUUCGUCCGCCCAAGGAUGGGUCUGCGGCCUAUCAGGUAGUAGUGGGUGUAAUGUACCUACUAGCCUACGACGGGUACGGGUUGUGAGAGCAAGAGCCCGGAGAUGGAUUCUGAGACAUGAAUCCAGGCCCUACGGGGCGCAGCAGGCGCGAAAACUUUACAAUGCGGGAAACCGUGAUAAGGGGACACCGAGUGCCAGCAUCAUAUGCUGGCUGUCCGGGUGUGUAAAAUACACCUGUUAGCAAGGGCCGGGCAAGACCGGUGCCAGCCGCCGCGGUAACACCGGCGGCCCGAGUGGUGAUCGUGAUUAUUGGGUCUAAAGGGUCCGUAGCCGGUUUGGUCAGUCCUCCGGGAAAUCUGACGGCUUAACCGUUAGGCUUUCGGGGGAUACUGCCAGACUUGGUACCGGGAGAGGUAAGAGGUACUACAGGGGUAGGAGUGAAAUCUUGUAAUCCCUGUGGGACCACCUGUGGCGAAGGCGUCUUACCAGAACGGGUUCGACGGUGAGGGACGAAAGCUGGGGGCACGAACCGGAUUAGAUACCCGGGUAGUCCCAGCCGUAAACGAUGCUCGCUAGGUGUCAGGCAUGGCGCGACCGUGUCUGGUGCCGCGGGGAAGCCGUGAAGCGAGCCACCUGGGAAGUACGGCCGCAAGGCUGAAACUUAA
rnacentral:rRNA from 1 species